UACGUAGGGUGCAAGCGUUAAUCGGAAUUACUGGGCGUAAAGCGUGCGCAGGCGGCUUUGCAAGACAGAUGUGAAAUCCCCCGGGCUCAACCUGGGAACUGCAUUUGUGACUGCAUGGCUAGAGUGCGGCAGAGGGGGGAUGGAAUUCCGCGUGUAGCAGUGAAAUGCGUAGAUAUGCGGAGGAACACCGAUGGCGAAGGCAAUCCCCUGGGCCUGCACUGACGCUCAUGCACGAAAGCGUGGGGAGCAAACAGG
rnacentral:rRNA from 1 species